rnacentral:tRNA from 1 species
AGAAAGUUAGUCUAACUAAGACGG